rnacentral:rRNA from 1 species
AGAUGGCGACCGGCGCACGGGUGAGUAACACGUAUCCAACCUGCCGAUAACUCGGGGAUAGCCUUUCGAAAGAAAGAUUAAUACCCGAUGGUAUAAUCAGACCGCAUGGUUUGAUUAUUAAAGAAUUUCGGUUAUCGAUGGGGAUGCGUUCCAUUAGGCAGUUGGUGAGGUAACGGCUCACCAAACCGACGAUGGAUAGGGGUUCUGAGAGGAAGGUCCCCCGCAUUGGUACUGAGACACGGACCAA